GAGGUAGUCUCCAUAGGCCGAUUUGGGAGGUGCGACAUAGUCACCGCUGGGUGAGAAAGGAUAAGAAGGUUUGUCCACGACAUCCUUGUUGUAGAAGUCUGCUAACAUGGUGUUCAGGAGGCGCCGAUCCCAGUUGUCUGUCACACGGCCUCCAUAGUUGCACUCUCCGGUCAGAUAAGUGAUGGCCUCGAAGGGCACCUCGUCGUAUUCGUUGAUGAACAACUACACGGGGAGACACGUGACGUGCAUUUAGACGUAUGUGACGGUAGCCAUCUUAGCAGCGAGCCUUUGAAUGAUCACCUGGAGCUGUCUGAUACUAAUGUGGAGGUCGGUUUCAUUGAAGCCGUAGGGAAUAUUCCAGCCCAGCGGACCAAACUUCCUCCUCUCCUGAACAAGCGCAUGGAAGAAGCACAGGCCAUACAGGAGCUUUUCCCAAAUCUGCAGAAAAAUAGAGAGGUAUUUGCUAACACUUUACAAUAACGUACACAAACGUACAGUAGUUCAUGAGGAACAAACCUACCUAACCUUAACCACUACUUCUUAGUUCCUCAUCAGUUCCUGAGUGACUACUCAAAUUGUAUGGCCUUAGUCGUUAGUUCCUCGUUAGUUCUUCAGUAACUACUGUAUGUUUUUGUACCUCGUGGUAAAUUGAGACCGGGUAUUUGGAGAAAAGGGGCAGCGAUGGAAUACGCGACAAAGUCAUUCUACCAACGCCCCCAACUCACCGGUUCUUUAUUAGGACAGUUAUUGAAGAAGUUUUGGUCGCAAACCGGAUCUGACAUGUACGACUGCAGUAUGUUUAGCCGAAGUCCUGUUGGGGGUUCAUUUGUCAUUUUCACCCCGUUCUGCAACAGGGUGACUGGAAACUGGUCCAAAAGAGAAGGAGACAGAGAGCAGCUGGAGGUCCAGAACCGUAGAAAAUUGAGCUGUUGCGCAUCCUGGAAAACGUCAUGUUGCCCUUUACCUUGGGAGAAGGAUAGCUUGUGAGCCAAAGUCGGAAGUCUUGGUGGCAUAUUGCGGGACUAAACUCCUCACAGAUCUUCUCCAGGGUGGACAUCCAGGAAACCGCCAGGUGACAAUUCUGCAAACAUACCCAAGUCCCGUCCUGCAUGGCCGUGGAUAUCAUUUUGGUCGCGAUGGGUCCUUGGCCUUGCCCGAGGGAAAUAGACUGGAACUUGCUACCACCCAUGUCCUUGUCGCCCGCAAACUUCAGCAAGCCUGUGAACGGUUAGCGUCUGGUCAGUUUCAUUGUCCUCAAGAUGACAUGAAGUUUCCCAACUUACUAGCCAUGGGGUCAGCACCAGGAGAAAGCACAAACACCAGUGGGAUGGUGGAGUUGGAGUCCAGGUAGCUCUUACUUAAGUCAAAGGGAGGAGGCUGGACAAAAUUCUUCCCCAGUUUAGUUAUGACAUAUUUGUGUACGGCCGGCACAAUCUUAUCAGGCCUGAGACAGCGGAUGAUGAUCAUCUUCUGCAGCUCAUUCAGCUGAUCGCACCAAGGUGAGGGCACAGGGGUGUUGCUUGGCUCUUUGCUGUCAAAAAUAGGCUUGAAAAGUUCUGCAUCCUCAAUGAAAGCAUCUCUGUGAAAUAAACACAUUCAUGUCCAUACUGUAAGGAGAAAAGCUGAGCGGUAGGAAGGAGCCAACAAAAAUCCCAGAGUAACUGAGUUACCGUAUUCCUUUUAAACCGGGAAGCUCGUUUGCUCGGCAAAUCUCAUCCCAGCUCUUGUCCUGCAACCAGCUCGGAUCGGGAUUAGCGAUUGUGUUCUGCAGACCCACGCCUCCGGUCAACAAAAAAAUCAAGUCACUGUACUCAAUCUCCUCUUUAGCCCUGAUGGAAAUAUCAGUAUCGGUUUGAUUCCUAUCCAAAAGUAGCGAGUCGCUAUCACACCAAUGGUACUCACAGAAGUAGAUUGCAGCAGAGAAGGAAGGAGAAGAGGAGUUUGUCCUUCUCAAACAGCGAUCGACACACGUUGCAGAACAAGUUAUAGGUGAAGUAAUCGAUCAGGUACAUGAGCCUCUUUUCCAGGAUCUUGGACUUUUUACUAAACGGAAACAGGGGGAGCUUCUCAAUACAAUCCAGUUCAAUGUUGCUUUAGCCUCAACCAUAAACAUUCAACAGUCAAAUAAAUACCAAAAGCUCCAAGUGAUAUCAAAAGUAUGAUAUCGCCUGAUGUUGUUUUCAUUUUGCAACGAAUGCAAGGCAAUUGCAUGGCAUUUACUAACAGGUUGUUAUGACAUCAGAGACCGAAGACAUACAGCAGUAUAUGAUACUGUGGAAUUGACAUUUGAAAACGGUCCCAUCAACGUCGCCAUGUGAUCUCACGCAUCCUUUUGUGAGUUACACAGUAAACGUGGCUCACCUAUCUUGGAUGGAGUUUGUGUAGAGGUUGACAAACCAGCUGAGAGAGUAUUGAUACAUGGGGUCGAUGUUGGUCAGGUCAGCGAUGGUGAAGAACAAGACAGAGGAGUGUUUAGCAAUGGCUCUGUAACACUCUCUGGACUCUGCUAUCUUGAUCUCAGUCUCCUCUGCAAUCUGGCAAAUUCAUAGACAAGAAUGCUAUGUAGUAAGAAAUCCCAGACAAAAGCCAGAUUGUGUUUGUGGAGCACGUAGCACGUGCCUUUUGUUUCUUGGAAAUCUCGUUGGACAUUAUCUUUGCAGAGUCUAGGAUCUGAAUGGCGCUCUCGUCUUCCAGAAUGUUUCCUUCUGAGGACGCUAGUGUCUCCAGGAUCUUGUCCUCCGUUUCCUUGAGUUGUCUGUUAUUUGCAGCCGACUGCAGAAUGAGUGCGUUUCUCUCCUCUUCCAGCUCGGGCCUGCGAAGCAGAUGCAGCGGAAGAAAAGCUGCAGGGGAGUCGAACAAAAGUCAGUGGACCAACGGCGACAGUACCUUUCCUUGGCAACCACGAUUCCCAGCAGUUGGUCCUCCAAGCCCUCUGGGGUGAUCAUAAAAUUGAGCAGAGACACCUUGGUGGCCAGUUCGGGGAGAUAAUGAGGGUUCCUCAGCUUGGUGGUGAUGUAGAAGCGGAAAUCGGGGGAGUACUCAAUCACGCUCUCCCCCAGUUUGAUGCAUUCUACCCCACCUGGUUGAAAACAAGCAUGACAAAAAUGUUGACAUCCCAAGUUCUGCAUCUUUGGGAUGCUGUGUCUCAUUCUAGGCACUUUGUUUGAAGGUUUGUUUGAGGAGCAGAGGUUCCAGUGACGGGUCCAACUCUUCCAGUACAUUCUCUAGCAGCAAAGGGCUUCCGAAUUGAAUACAGUUUUCCAUAGUUCUCAUGUAGUCAUCAUCUGUUAAUUUGAUCACAUUUAAAUUGUUCUCUUUCUCUGAAUUCUUCACCCAUUUGUUGGCCUGACCCUGAGGGUCAAUCAUCAGGGGCCUGAAAAGGACAGGGAUAAACAAGGACAAUCUCAGGAUGCUCUUAUGAAUCAAUAGGAUUUCAAAUGACAUUGAUGGUGGAAAUCAUUGAUUUCAUUAAUUACAUUCAAUGUUUUAGUGUAAUUAAUGCGUCGGUCGGCUACACACACUGUAUAUAUCACACUGAGUUUUGUGUAAAGGUCUCACCAUCGACGUGAAUGACUGGUAAUGACGCCGUUGUCAAUGGAGAAGGAGUCAGUGGGGAGCCCAGCAAUGUUCCAUGCCCUAAUCUUAAUAGGAUCUCCAAGGGUCUUACUGAGAGAGAAGUCAUCUGAUGAUGGAAUGUUCCGAGUCUAGACAUGCCAGGGUAGAUGAAAAGAGAGAUUGAUCCAGUGACUGGUGCAGUCGUGUCUAAAACUGGCUGUGAAAGCGCCCAGGUAGGCCAUGACACCAGCAGAGAUCAGGACAUCUCCAGUCAGGUUGUCAUAUGUGUUUUGGAGAUCAUCAGCAGCUUUGGACCAUCUGAGAAUAAGAUGUUUACUCAGUGGCAUUGUGUCCUUGCAAUUAUACGGUGUGUCUGUGUGUAUAUAUAUAUAUGUAUGUACACACAUACAUAUAAUCCAUAUAUACAUAGAAAAAAGUAUUAUUGAUUACCUUGUUUUUUCUCCACCCAGACCACCAAUGAGUUUCUCAGCUCGCUCCAACUUUCUUUGACACAAAUCUCGUUGGGCUUCCAGUUUGGCUUUCUCCUCUGUUUUUUCCUCAGAUGUUCUUUUCAGGUCAGCCAAACGGUCCUCAACCUGCUUCAGCUUGGCUCUCUUCUCUGAUAGAUCGGCCAUGGCGGAUGCCAGGGUCGCCUGGGCCUUGGCUUGUUUGUCCAUUUUUGGAGCCACGAUCUAAAAGCACGCAGGAUCCGCAAUCUUGUCCGGUGUUUUUCCCAUCAUGACACACACAGCUGACAUCACCAGUUUGACUCCCGAGGGAGGGUUUUUCAUGGACUUCACAACGGUGAUGUCAGCAGGCUGCAAUGAAGAAGAGGCUUCAGGAACGAGUUGGCUACCCGCUCUAGCGCCUCCUCUGGCCAAGGCUGGAAGGACACACAAGAUAAAGUACAACAGGAGCACAAGGAAAAGUGUCUCUUAGCUUACUAAUAUCGGCUUAUUUGAUAUUGUGUAGAAUUUAACAUGGAUAUUUAGUACCUGGAACCAAUUAAUGGUGCAACAGUUAAUAAGAGAAGGAAAUUGCCGCAGACGAUUACGAAAGGCUUCACCAAUCGGACUGAAGGCCACAACAAUGUGGAGGUUCUCCUUGCAGCGUGCCACAAAGAAGGAGAACAGAGUCAAAGAGCUCAGUUCUACAGCCCUAUUCUUCCCUUGGGCAAUGGGGCGGACCGUCUGCAAAGAGUCAAAUAAGUGAGGUUAAUGUAAGAAUGUAAGUGGAACGUUAAUAAUCUCAGUGACU